GAGAUACGUAACCGGGAGGCACAAAAAUAGGCGGCAUAGAACCAUUAGGUGACAUCAUAGGAACAUGGGCCGGACCUGGGAAGCAAAGAGGUGCCACUUCACAACAGGCUGCAGGACUGUAUUCCUCCCUUGGAUGUGAUGGAAGCAGAAUGGACAUGUUUUGUAUAACAUCAUUUGAGAUGGUGAAAAACAUUCCUGCAAUGGAAGCACUGAUAAAUUCAACUUGACUUACAGGAGAUAUUUUGAACCAGCAGCAGAUGUGCAGCUCAGUCACCUACCCACAAGCCAAACAGUGGUUUGUAACCGCACAGAGGGCAGUGACUCUUCCCUCGGUACUAACACACUGCUAAUGCCACUGCCUUGCAUUGCAGCAAGGUCACACAGCACCCAUUAAAGUUGUUUAGAUAGGACUAAAUCUCAGAAGUUCAUGUGCUGUGAAUCUGAGAAGAUAGAUACUUGAGGACCACUAGAAGAGCAGCUGAGAUGCUGACCUCUUAAAAGCUAUCAGCAAAGCAUGCAGAGCUGCAGGGAAGCCUGCCAGUUUUCCAGCACUG
rnacentral:lncRNA from 1 species